AGUGGCCUUUAAGGAUGUGGCUGUAAGCUUCACCCGGGAGGAGUGGGCUUUGUUGGAUCCUUCUCAGAAGAAUCUCUACAGCGAUGUGAUGUGGGAAACCUUGAGGAACCUGGCUGCUAUAGGGAAAAAAUGGAAAGACCAGAACAUUGAAGAUCAGUACAAAAAUCCCAGGAGAAAUCUAAGGAGUCACAAUGGAGAGAAACCCCAUGAAUGCAAG